ACGUGGCAGCUCCUCACACCCCAAGCAGGAGGGCAAUGAACACCAAAAGCAGUCCCUACCACCAACAUUGGUAGAGUUGGUAAGACUGAGCUGGAACUAUAGCUCAAAUAGUGGCUCUUCAGUCUUUUAAUGGCAAGAAUGUAGAACUGACUGUGUGACUCAUCCAAGAGCUUUGACCAUCUACUGUGACUCAGCCAAUGGAAACACUCGUGCUGUCUGUUGCUUGGUAUUGCCAUGUGCAUAAUUGUAAGACGUUCACGUCCCGUGUCCUCACCCAGGAAGGACACUGGGUUGGCAGUGGGUCUUCUGCAGUGAGCUGCCUGCACUCUCCUUGCUUUGGCCAUGGGUGUAGCACACGUGGUGGGAAGAAGCAUUUUGGCUGAAGGAAGAAGAGCAGAACAAGUAACAGGAUCCCUGCUUGAAUGGGCUGAUUUUGCUCAGAGGUGCCAGUUACAGCAGUCCAAUGAAGUACAGUUCAGCACAAUGGCUUUGCCCAGGACGUUAAGGAGACUGAUGUAAAUGAUUCACAUCCCAUGGAUUUGCUUAGGAGACCACCACUUCAGGUGAGACAUCCCAGAACAGGGGAGAAGCUGGAAAAUCAGAUAUACAGGAUGGCACAAGACCUGUUGGUCCCGUAUGUCCAGCCUAUGGGAGUGACCCAGAUAAUUCCAUGGGACUUUUUCUUUCCCAUCAUGAAAAAAUGGCUUUUUAGAUCUGAACUGGCUUAUUAGAUCUGAACUGCUACUUGACCUCUGUUCUGCACCUGAUCUUCUUUGCUCUCUUCAUCAGCUUCCAGGUGGCUGCUGCAUGAUGAUUUAUCCUUGCCUUGCUGCCCAAAGUUUGUGCUUCAGGGCUACAAUCACUACUGCCACCUCCUAUUUAAACCACUUAAACCAAGCUGAAUGAAUUGGCUUGGCGCAAACUAUGGAAUGCUGACACAAACUGCUGCGUGGGCUGGCUCAAAAGGGUGCUUAACACUAGAGGAGGGAAGGGGUGGGAAGAGGAUGGAGAACACCACAGAUGAGCAGCUGCAGUGGUAACACCCAGCAGCACAGCUGGAUCUGAAGAAGGAUGUUUGUCCACAGCCUCUGAGAGCAAUUAGACUGGAGCCUUGGGGGGUCUGGCACAUCUGAGAACAAGUGCUACUUAUUUUGUUAGCUAAAUAGGGAUUUGGAUAGCUGUCCUUUUUUCCACAUUGCAACAUUCAUGACUUCUGUGUGCUGUGUAAGCAUUGAAGAUGCUUUAAUUAUUGGUAGAAGCUCUUUCUUUAAAUGUUGUUUCUCACUUGAGAAGACAAAUGAUACUGAUCUCUUAGGUGAAGUAGGGGCAAGGAUAGUUUUGCUGCUGUUUCUUUUCUUCAAAAUCAGUCUAAACUCAAAAUGACACAAAAUUUCAGAAGAAUUCAGCUUUGGAGCAAUUUUUUUCCCCCUGAUUUCUGCAUUAUCCUUUCUUUUUGAGGUUCCCUGUGACUGCUGUAUUCAAGAAACCUGUCCUUCAAUUGCCUCCAAUGCCUGUGACCCUUUCUGGCUUAACCCCAGGAAAAGGUCAAAGGGACAAUGCUAUACAUCCUUGAGCAAUGUUAUCUACAUUUAUAACAUUCUAGGCCAUCUUCACUGUUUCU